rnacentral:rRNA from 1 species
GAUGUUUGGUUAAAAAUACUUAAAUGUUAUAUUUAUAUAAGUGAAUUGUUUUGUGUCAUUAAAGGGUGAAAUCAAUUUUUUGUUGAAUAAAUAAAUUUGUUUAAUAUAAUCUAAUUGAGGUUGUUAAAAUUAGGGUAUGAACCAGGAUUAGAGACCCUGUUACACUUAAUUUUAAGUUCGAAUACCUGGGUAGUAAACAGUUAUAGUCUUGAAACUUAAAGGAUUUGGCGGUAAUUUAGUCUAGUUAGAGGAACCUGUCCUGUAAUCGAUAGUCCACGAAAAAUCUUACUUUACUUUGAAUAACUCAGUUUAUAUACCGUCAUUAUUAGGUAACUUUAAUAAAAGUAGAAGUUGCUGUAAUAGUUUUUAAUUAAUAUAUUAGAUCAAGGUGUAGCCUAUGGUAAAGUAGAGAUGGGUUACAAUAAUACUGGUUUAAUAAAACGAAUCUAAAAUAGAAAAGUUUUAGUGAAGGAGGAUUUAAAUGUAAAAAUAUUUUAACAUGAUAUUUUGAUUGUAGCUCUAGGUUAUGUACACAUCGCCCGUCGCUCU